CAGUCGCGCGGGAAUACGUAGGGUGCGAGCGUUAAUCGGAAUUACUGGGCGUAAAGCGCACGUAGGCGGCUUGGUAAGUUAGAGGUGAAAGCCUGGAGCUCAACUCCAGAAUUGCCUUUAAGACUGCCGAGCUAGCAGGUGAGAGAGGUAAGUGGAAUUCCGAGUGUAGAGGUGAAAUUCGUAGAUAUUCGGAAGAACACCAGUGGCGAGGGCGGCAACCUGGCUCAUUACUGACGCUGAGGCGCGAAAGCGUGGGGAGCAAACAGGAUUAGAUACCCGGGUAGUCCCUGUCUCUUAUACA
rnacentral:rRNA from 1 species